rnacentral:rRNA from 1 species
AACGAACGCUGGCGGCGCGCCUAAUACAUGCAAGUCGAGCGAGAAAGUGUAGCAAUACACUUGUAAAGCGGCGAACGGGUGAGGAAUACAUGGGUAAUCUACCAUCGAGUGGGGAAUAACCAACCGAAAGGUUGGCUAAUACCGCGUACGCCUCCGAGUCUUCGGGUUCGGAGGGAAAGCUGCACUGUGAGUGUAGCGCUCUUUGAUGAGCUCAUGUCCUAUCAGCUUGUUGGUAGGGUAAUGGCCUACCAAGGCUUUGACGGGUAGCUGGUCUGAGAGGACGAUCAGCCACACUGGCACUGCGACACGGGCCAGACUCCUACGGGAGGCAGCAGUAAGGAAUAUUGCGCAAUGGGCGAAAGCCUGACGCAGCGACGCCGCGUGGGGGAUGAAGGUCUUCGGAUUGUAAACCCCUUUCGGAGGGAAGAUGGAGCGAGCAAUCGUUCGGACGGUACCUCCAGAAGCAGCCACGGCCAACUUCGUGCCAGC